AGCACUCAAACUGGCUGCCCUACACACCAUCAACUCUGUCUUUAUAAGCAAGGCAACAAGAGCUAUGAGCCCUGCACAGCACUGGAGAAGCAAGGGCAGCACCAAGGGACGGGAAAGGCCUCAGCAGCCCCGGCACCCUGCUGUUGAUGUGGGAACGUCUGCCAGCCCAAGGCUGUGUCCUCUGCAUCCCUGGUGGUAUUGCUACCACCUCUGUCAAGAAAAAAGUGUUGUCAUAGCUGCAAGCUCUGCUCUCUCCCUCCUCCACACACAAGUGCUGUGAUGCCAAGACCCUGCCAGCAAGUGGAGCUGCCAGGAGAGGCUGCAGAAGGGGAGACAUCACCUCUGAGACCACUGGGGACCACAGCUCCUUCCUUGUGUCAGUGUUUGCAAGGGGAUGGCAGUGGUUGAGUGCUGAGGCUUAGCACUGCAGAGUGCAUCGUGCCUGCUUGCAGCAUCUGUGCCACCUGGAGAGCUGCAGCACUGUUCAAACUUCUAGCAGCAGUCCCCAAACACCCCCUGCUCUCAUGGUGAGCCUGUGCCUCACCGUGCAGGCUGCCUGCCAUCUGGCAUGAGUGGGACCGAGUAGAGUUAAAUAAAUGUUAAAUACACACUAGUACCAUGUGACAACUAGCAAAAGGCAGUGACUUCAAGCUUGAAGAGUCUGCUUAUGUAAACAGCAUCCUGAAAUUAAUAUUUACCUUUUAAAGCAAACAGAUAUUUGGGGUAUUUCGUCGUCUUUCUGCCUAGCAGAUGCUAGGAACAACAGCUUGGCGCUGCAGGGAAUUGUCUUGACAGCUCAGGGGAUGGUAAACUCCCUGGCAGCCUCCAGACUGUGAGGUCAGAGCCAGUCCCUCUCUUUUCAAGCAGAUAAAUUCUCACAAACACCGGAUUAAUCUUUGCUCAGGGGCUCAACCCUUAAUGAGGAGCAGGACCUGGGGAGCGGGAGUUCACACAGCAGAUGGAUGAAGACUUUGGGGAUGCCCGAAGCAAACUCUUGUCUGGAAGGGUUCCGGGGGAGGCAGAAGGGCUGUCCUGUGCUCCAUUACCAGCAGUACCUGCAUCCGUGGAGCAAAUCUCACAAUUUUUCAUUUUUUAAACGAUGGUCAUUUUGUAAAUCGCAGCUUCAGCUCAUUUCAGUUCAUCACACAGCCCUCAGAGCUGCCCCGCCUGCUUUUGCUCCUGUGGGAGGAGCUCCAAGGGCUCCUGUGGGAAGAGCCCCAUGUACACCUACAGACAAGAACUUUUUAGGAUUUCACCGAGGUGUUUGUGGCAUUUCCCAGCCCAUGGGAUGGCUGUUCUGUAUCUGGGGCUGGGAGGUUUUAAGAGCAUCCUUCAUCUCAUCGCUGCUGCCCUCACCCAGGGGUUGCCUUUAUUUCACUCCUCUGCUCCUAUUCUUUCCUUAAUCCCCCACUCUAUACUUUCAUCCUCUUCCACCACGCGACACAUGGGGACAUCCAUGCCACCCAACAACUGCCCAAGGUAAUCAGGCUGGUUUAUCUGCAUGGGGUCACUCUCAAAGUGUCCCCAUCUCAGUGGGAAUAGAAAUGCACAGGGCUCAGAGCUGGGGGGCUUGGUGAGUGGGAUGGGACCGGUCCUGAAUGUCCCAAAUCCAGCCCUCCAGUAUGCACCAGUCCUGUGAGCAUCACAUGAAGGGCCUAUGGGGCUGUCACCUGCUCCUAUCCCGCUGCACAGCUGCCAGCUUGGGAGGACAGACUGAGAGCUGCUUUUGGAAGCCGGUACCCACAAAGUAAACCCAUUAACACAGGAGGUUCAUGGGUGUGAUCUGGGGCAGGAUAGGGCUGGGAGGAUGCGGAGAGGCUCGAUUGCCCCUGUAAAAAACAAAACAAACCAAUAACAGUGUUCCUAGAACAGCUUGGAAAGAGAUGCAGGCACAGUUGCAUGGAUAGGGGAAUUUUGGGUCUCAUUGUGCUGAGAAAUGAGGAAAUAUUGAUGUGGGGGAGCUGGAAAAUUGUCCAGCAGCCUACCAAAAAUGCUGCUGAAGCACAUGCUGAAGCAUGUGAGCAUGCACAGCAAUGCCUGGGGCAGAUUUGCUUUUCCCUUGUGUCCUGCCCUGUGGCACCAAGCACCCACCCCAGCAAAAAGAGAUGCACCACCACGGAGUUAUUUCCAUUGGUAACAACUACAGGAUGUACAGGAUUCUGGGUGGUUGGGAAGCACUGCUCCAGCCCGGGGUGCUGAGAAUUUCCAGAGUGCUGUGCUGGGAAUAAAACAAGUUCAUUUAAGUGUGUUGUUAGGCUGAAUACCUCUUUCUUCUUAAAAAUAAACCUCUUUGCUU
rnacentral:lncRNA from 7 species